GGAGAAGGGGCGUUUUUUCCAGAAUACCGGAAGGAUUAAUUUUCUCCUUCCCUUUCUCCAGGGUUGACAUAUUUUUUUAUGCGUGGAACAUACCUGCAGAAGGAGCAGUCCCCGCAUGGGGCUGAUCCACGAUAUCUCUCAGCUUUUCUGCCACAUUUGGCUCCUUCUUCCAUGAGCUCGAUUGUAUGCUUUCCUCAGAGAUCUUUUGGGGUAACCCCUUUUACUGAACCUUUGAAGCAGUUGUUGACUCUCCCGAAAAAAGGAGGCUUCAUCCGAACAGUUACGACGUGCUCUCAGAUAUUGUCCUAUGGGAAUCCCUUUCUUAAGGGGAACUGGAUGCCAACUGUC